UAUAUGGUAGGAGAGCGUUCUGUAAGCCUGCGAAGGUGUCUUGUAAAGGAUGCUGGAGGUAUCAGAAGUGCGAAUGCUGACAUGAGUAGCGAUAAUGGGAGUGAAAAGCUCCCACGCCGUAAGCCCAAGGUUUCCUGUUCAACGUUCAUCGGAGCAGGGUGAGUCGGCCCCUAAGGCGAGGCAGAGAUGCGUAGCUGAUGGGAAGCAGGUUAAUAUUCCUGCACCGUCGUAUGAUGCGAUGGGGGGACGGAUCGCGGAAGGUUGUCCAACGGUUGGAAGUGUUGGUUUUUGACUCAUAGAAGGCGCUUAGGCAAAUCCGGGCGCGGAAUUCAAGGGGUCGAGACGAGAGACUUAGGUCUUGAAGCAAUCGGAAGUGGUUCCAAGAAAAGCCUCUAAGCUUCAGUCAUACGAGACCGUACCGCAAACCGACACAGGUGGGCGAGAUGAGUAUUCUAAGGCGCUUGAGAGAACUCGGGAGAAGGAACUCGGCAAAUUGGUACCGUAACUUCGGGAAAAGGUACGCCCCGGUAGCUUGACUGGUUUACUCCAGAAGGGUGAAAGGGUUGCAAUAAACUGGUGGCUGCGACUGUUUAAUAAAAACACAGCACUCUGCAAACACGAAAGUGGACGUAUAGGGUGUGACGCCUGCCCGGUGCUGGAAGAUUAAAUGAUGGGGUGCAAGCUCUUGAUUGAAGUCCCAGUAAACGGCGGCCGUAACUAUAACGGUCCUAAGGUAGCGAAAUUCCUUGUCGGGUAAGUUCCGACCUGCACGAAUGGCGUAACGAUGGCCACACUGUCUCCUCCCGAGACUCAGCGAAGUUGAAAUGUUUGUGAUGAUGCAAUCUACCCGCGGCUAGACGGAAAGACCCCAUGAACCUUUACUGUAGCUUUGCAUUGGACUUUGAACCAAUCUGUGUAGGAUAGGUGGGAGGCUUUGAAGCGGGGACGCCAGUCUUCGUGGAGCCAUCCUUGAAAUACCACCCUGGUUUGUUUGAGGUUCUAACCUUGGUCCGUUAUCCGGAUCGGGGACAGUGCAUGGUAGGCAGUUUGACUGGGGCGGUCUCCUCCUAAAGUGUAACGGAGGAGUUCGAAGGUACGCUAGAUACGGUCGGACAUCGUGUUGAUAGUGCAAUGGCAUAAGCGUGCUUAACUGCGAGACUGACAAGUCGAGCAGGUACGAAAGUAGGACAUAGUGAUCCGGUGGUUCUGUAUGGAAGGGCCAUCGCUCAACGGAUAAAAGGUACUCUGGGGAUAACAGGCUGAUUCCUCCCAAGAGUUCAUAUCGACGGGGGAGUUUGGCACCUCGAUGUCGGCUCAUCACAUCCUGGGGCUGUAGCCGGUCCCAAGGGUAUGGCUGUUCGCCAUUUAAAGUGGUACGUGAGCUGGGUUUAAAACGUCGUGAGACAGUUUGGUCCCUAUCUGCCGUGGGCGUUGGAAAUUUGAAGGGGGCUGCUCCUAGUACGAGAGGACCGGAGUGGACAGACCUCUGGUGUACCGGUUGUCACGCCAGUGGCAUUGCCGGGUAGCUAAGUCUGGAAGAGAUAACCGCUGAAAGCAUCUAAGCGGGAAACUUGCCUUGAGAUGAGAUUUCCCAGAGCCUUGAGCUCUUUAAAGGGUCGUUCGAGACCAGGACGUUGAUAGGUCAGGUGUGGAAGUGCAGUAAUGCAUUAAGCUAACUGAUACUAAUUGCCCGUACGGCUUGUCCCUAUAACCUUAGCAGGU
rnacentral:rRNA from 1 species